rnacentral:rRNA from 1 species
GAGUUUGAUCCUGGCUCAGAUUGAACGCUGGCGGCGUGCUUAACACAUGCAAGUCGAGCGGUAACGCGGGGGCAACCCUGGCGACGAGCGGCGAACGGGUGAGUAAUGCUUCGGAAUCUUCCUCGUAGUGGGGAAUAACCUGGGGAAACUCAGGCUAAUACCGCAUACGAACUACGGUUGAAAGCGGGGGAUCGCAAGACCUCGCGCUAUGAGAUGAGCCGAAGUCGGAUUAGCUAGUUGGUGAGGUAACGGCUCACCAAGGCGACGAUCCGUAGCUGGUCUGAGAGGACGACCAGCCACACUGGGACUGAGACACGGCCCAGACUCCUACGGGAGGCAGCAGUGGGGAAUAUUGGACAAUGGGGGCGAACCCUGAUCCAGCGACGCCGCGUGUGUGAAGAAGGCCUGCGGGUUGUAAAGCACUUUUAGUGGGGAUGAAAAGCCGAGGGCUAAUACUCUUCGGUCUUGACCUAACCCAAAGAAAAGCACCGGCUAACUCUGUGCCAGCAGCCGCCGUAAG